UUUCAUGGAGAGUUUGAUCCUGGCUCAGGACGAACGCUGGCGGCGUGCCUAAUACAUGCAAGUCGAGCGAAUCAUGAGGUGCUUGCACCUCUUGGUUAGCGGCGGACGGGUGAGUAACACGUGGGCAACCUGCCUGUAAGACUGGGAUAACAUCGGGAAACCGAUGCUAAUACCGGAUAAUUCUUUUCCUCUCAUGAGGAAAAGCUGAAAGUCGGCUUCUCGCUGACACUUACAGAUGGGCCCGCGGCGCAUUAGCUAGUUGGUGAGGUAACGGCUCACCAAGGCGACGAUGCGUAGCCGACCUGAGAGGGUGAUCGGCCACACUGGGACUGAGACACGGCCCAGACUCCUACGGGAGGCAGCAGUAGGGAAUCUUCCGCAAUGGACGAAAGUCUGACGGAGCAACGCCGCGUGAACGAUGAAGGCCU
rnacentral:rRNA from 1 species